rnacentral:rRNA from 1 species
AUGGUGCCUUCGGGAACUCUGACACAGGUGGCUGCAUGGCUGUCGUCAGCUCGUGUCGUGAGAUGUUGGGUUAAGUCCCGUAACGAGCGCAACCCUUGUCCUAGUUACCAGCACGUUAUGGUGGGCACUCUAAGGAGACUGCCGGUGACAAACCGGAGGAAGGUGGGGAUGACGUCAAGUCCUCAUGGCCUUUAUGACCAGGGCUACACACGUACUACAAUGGCCGAUACAAAGGGCAGCGACACUGCGAGGUGAAGCCAAUCCCGUAAAAUCGGUCUCAGUCCGGAUUGGAGUCUGCAACUCGACUCCAUGAAGUUGGAAUCGCUAGUAAUCGUGGAUCAGCAUGCCACGGUGAAUACGUUCCCGGGCCUU